rnacentral:rRNA from 1 species
CCUACGGGGGGCAGCAGUGAGGAAUAUUGGUCAAUGGCCGGAAGGCUGAACCAGCCAAGCCGCGUGAAGGACGAAGGUGCCAAGCAUUGUAAACUUCUUUUGUCAAGGGACAAAAUCAGGCUCGAGAGCCUGACCGAGGGUACUUGAAGAAAAAGCAUCGGCUAACUCCGUGCCAGCAGCCGCGGUCAUACGGAGGAUGCGAGCGUUAUCCGGAUUUAUUGGGUUUAAAGGGUGCGUAGGCGGACUGUUAAGUCAGCGGUAAAAGUCCGGGGCUCAACCCCGGCGAGCCGUUGAAACUGGCUGUCUUGAGAUGUCGAGAGGUAUGCGGAAUGCGCAGUGUAGCGGUGAAAUGCAUAGAUAUCACGCAGAACUCCGAUUGCGAAGGCAGCAUACCGGCGCCCAACUGACGCUGAGGCACGAAAGCGUGGGUAUCGAACAGGAUUAGAUACCCCAGUAGUC